ensembl:lncRNA
GUGAAAAACAAAACAAAUCUAAAACCAGAAAAAAUAAAACUGAGAAAAGAGAAUAUGGGAAACUAUAAAACAUUAUUCUGGGGGGGGAAAAAUCACAGAUGUAUAGGGCCCCCCUUAGAGUAGUUUAUUAACCAUUCAUUUUGCAAGGUAUAUUGACAGAAAACAUACUACAAAAGGCUAGCGCCGGCCCUGCGUGCCUGGUGGAUAUUCGACCAUACUACAAAAGGCUAGCGCCGGCCCUGCGAGCCUGGUGGAUAUUCGACCAUACUACAAAAGGCUAGCGCCGGCCCUGCGAGCCUGGUGGAUAUUCGACCCUACUACAAAAGGCUAGCGCCGGCCCUGCGAGCCUGGUGGAUAUUCGACCCUACUACAAAAGGCUAGCGCCGGCCCUGCGAGCCUGGUGGAUAUUCGACCAUACUACAAAAGGCUAGCGCCGGCCCUGCGAGCCUGGUGGAUAUUCGACCAUUCUACAAAAGGCUAGCGCCGGCCCUGCGAGCCUGGUGGAUAUUCGACCCUACUACAAAAGGCCAGCGCCGGCCCACUUGACAUAACCUUUGGCCUGGUUUCAAGGUUGGACAGUGUUAUCCUCAAACAAGUUGUUGUGGAUAACCCAAUAACAAGCAAUAUUCUAUUAUUGCAAAUUUCAUUCACAUUUUGCAAUUAUUGACAGAUAGACUCAUUUUUCCUCGCUGAUUAAGAGUUCUUACAACCAUUACUGUUUUUCCCCUUUUCCCCCUCUUGUCCUCAUUCCUAAGUAGGCUGCAUUAACUGAACACGCCCCUUUUGUUGCCGCUUGGGCAUCAGUGGAAUCAAACGUUCACAGCACAGUUGUUAAUCUGCUAUUGAUCACCAGAGAGGAAAAACGUCCAGUUAUAUUGAUUAAUCGGUGAUUCGUCUUUCUCUUUGGCAACGCAAUCCUCAAUUACUGCAUCAAAUCUCUGACUGUUCUUGUUGCAACUUUUUUCACCUGAAAUAUUAGUUCUCAAUAUAAAUAUAGUUAUUCAUAGAAUCACCAGUCAACAAAUUUAACAAACAUGAAUAAUAUAUCUUUCCUAUAG